rnacentral:rRNA from 1 species
UGCGGAGGGAUCAUUACAAG